AUGUGCAGAGAGAGUGGACAUUGCAGGACAAGUGAAUUAUCUAGGGGUGUUUCCAGGGCGAAUUUAAUGAGCUGGCUGCUUCUUAUGGGGAACACCUGGAGCUAUCUGAGGCUACUGCACCUUCUUGGAUUUGAACAUCUACAAGAGCAAGACAAGGGAAAUUCCGAUUUGAUUGAGGGGGCUGCAGUGCUUGGCAGUUUUGGUGCUCUCACAUACAAGUAUACAAGGGCAUAUUUUUCUGGAAGGCCAUGGGACCCUAGUAUUCUGCAUUUUGGAACUUCAGUAUCAAUUAUUGGCACCAUAUUACACACACUCGUAGAGUUCACUGCAAUUUAUUGUGGGCUGGAUCGUGUGCAACUGGCGUCAUCAUCAGCACCAAAGUUGUUUGGAAAGGGUCCAGUUGUGCACUUCUACCUUCAGCUCCUUGCAUUUCUUCAAUCCAGCAGGUCUGAGAUUUAUUCUCGGAUCCAAUGCUCACAUAUUCUCUGGUUUUAUCUGAUACAUGAUCCAGUAAUGCGUCAACACCUCGUUUCACAAUAUCCUCGUAUCAUAUAUAAGCAUGUGCAGAUGUUGAUAAUAGGGCUGAAUUAUGAGAUGGAUCAUAAACCUCAAGGCACCUUAGUAACUACAGUCAUGUUGCUGCAACAUCUCCAACCUAUUUACCAGCAGCUUGAUUCUUUCUGGUCAUGGGCGCAAGCAAAAGAAAGGACGAAGGAAAAGUUGCAGCUCUGCAUAUGCCAGCAUGUUCCUCUUGGUGGUGCAAUGGUAAAUAUUCAGAAAAUUGGCAUUGAGUUGGGAGGACUGGACACUACCGAGCACAUACUACUACCAUAUGAUCCAGGUGGAUUAGCUCUUCGGCGUGCCAAGUGUGGCGGCAUUCUUGAUCCAAGAAUGUUCAUCGUCGGCUUGAGGGCAAGCCGAGUUUCAAGGGAGGGAGAGUGUAACACCCCACCUAUGGGCUGCCACUGUAUGUUUGUAACCUGGGCCUGGGCUUAG
rnacentral:rRNA from 1 species